CGUGUGGUUCUAUUUUGUUGGUUUCUAGGACCGCCGUAAUGAUUAAUAGGGACAGUCGGGGGCAUCAGUAUUCAAUUGUCAGAGGUGAAAUUCUUGGAUUUAUUGAAGACUAACUACUGCGAAAGCAUUUGCCAAGGAUGUUUUCAUUAAUCAGGAACGAAAGUUAGGGGAUCGAAGACGAUCAGAUACCGUCGUAGUCUUAACCAUAAACUAUGCCGACUAGGGAUCGGACGGUGUUAUUUUUUGACCCGUUCGGCACCUUACGAGAAAUCAAAGUGCUUGGGCUCCAGGGGGAGUAUGGUCGCAAGGCUGAAACUUAAAGAAAUUGACGGAAGGGCACCACCAGGGGUGGAGCCUGCGGCUUAAUUUGACUCAACACGGGGAAACUCACCAGGUCCAGACACAAUGAGGAUUGACAGAUUGAGAGCUCUUUCUUGAUUUUGUGGGUGGUGGUGCAUGGCCGUUCUUAGUUGGUGGAGUGAUUUGUCUGCUUAAUUGCGAUAACGAACGAGACCUUAACCUGCUAAAUAGCCCGUAUUGCUCUGGCAGUACGCUGGCUUCUUAGAGGGACUAUCGGCUCAAGCCGAUGGAAGUUUGAGGCAAUAACAGGUCUGUGAUGCCCUUAGAUAUUCUGGGCCGCACGCGCGCUACACUGGCGGAGCCAGCGAGUACUUCCUUGUCCGAAAGGUCCGGGUAAUCUUGUUAAACUCCGUCGUGC
rnacentral:rRNA from 1 species